UAAGUGGAUUUCCUCAAAAGC
rnacentral:piRNA from 1 species